UUAAGUCUCUGGUUGUAUGAGGAGUUAUAACAGAUACAAGAACCUGAACGGACUAUCCAGCUACCUACGCAGUUAUCAUGACAUUUGGCAACGCAAGUACCAAUUAAGAGUUUGCAACAUGCCACCAGCAGUAAGAAAAACGGUGGCCGUCACACACAAGCUUGCUUCCGCCUUUGUCGCGCUUGUCAAUUGUAAGCUUGGAAAAAUCCUGGUGUCUUUCAAAGCCAGAAGAAUAACACUCAACCCUACCAACCAGCUUUCUGCUAUAAAAUAAUGGAUAAAUAAACACAAUGUAUGCAUAUAAUAAAAUAAAGGUUUCUUAGCAGUGUGGCUAUACAUAUCCUAGAGGCUCCAUGGCUCUAUGGUCAUUGUCACACCAGCAGUGUGCUGGUGGUGGUCAUUAAACUGUAUGUACAAUAAUACUGACUGGAGAAGAAAUGCCUAACUCUCACCAUAUGAUUAUACCAUUAGCUCACAAGUUUAAUGCACUACUAUAGACAAAUGUGUGUGUGUGUGUG